rnacentral:rRNA from 1 species
UACGUAGGGGGCUAGCGUUGUCCGGAAUCAUUGGGCGUAAAGCGCGUGUAGGCGGUCCGGUAAGUCCGCUGUGAAAGUCGGGGGCUCAACCCUCGAAUGCCGGUGGAUACUGUCGGGCUAGAGUGCGGAAGAGGCGAGCGGAAUUCCUGGUGUAGCGGUGAAAUGCGCAGAUAUCAGGAGGAACACCCGUGGCGAAAGCGGCUCUCUGGGACGGUACUGACGCUGAGACGCGAAAGCGUGGGGAGCAAACAGG